rnacentral:misc_RNA from 1 species
UUUCCGUAGGUGAACCUGCGGAAGGAUCAUUAAAUAAUUUAGAUGACCUCCUAGAACUUGUUCUAGUUAGGUUCAUUCUUUUUUACUGUGAACUGUUUUAAUUUUCAGCGUUUGAGGAAUGUCUUUUAGUCAUAGGGAUAGACUAUUAGAAUGUUAACCGAGCUGAAGUCAGGUUUAGACCUGGUAUCCUAUUAAUUAUUUACCAAAAGAAUUCAGUAUUAUUAUUGUAACAUAAGCGUAAAAAACUUAUAAAACAACUUUUAACAACGGAUCUCUUGGUUCUC